ensembl:lncRNA
ACUAGAAAUGUACCAACUCAAAGUUAUAUUUUUUACCAAGGUAAACACACAGAACAUAAUAAAAAAAUUUUUUUUUCAGACCCAGGCUUAAGUCCAGGAAAAACUUUAGACCCAGCUUUGGUUGUAGCUAAUGCGAGAACUGGAAAGAGCUAAGACCACAGAAAUCUUCCAAGAAACAGAGAAAGAAGAUGCAAGAAAAAAGCGCAUGAAUCUCUUCAGUUUGGUGCAACUCAUUCCAGAGCAUUCAAUUUUCUCUAUGAAAUCUACAGUGGACUUAUUACUUGGAACAAAUUUUAAGGUAUGUCAAAAUCCUUGUCUCUUACCUCAUAGAAAAUUCAACAUUUUAUAAGAAUAGACAUCAAAGUUAAUGAAGGAAUUAUUAAUGUAUAUAAUCAGUUUGCCUCAUCACAACUUCUAAUACAGAGGUUAUGAAAUAUUUGUCUUUCUUUUAAAAGGUAUUUCAAGGACUGUCAGUGGAUUCACAGUAAAAGAGAAGAUCUGAAUGUCCUCAAACAAAAUAUACAUCUUUGGAUCCAAAUUUUAGAAAACAAACCAGUCUUUAAAUUGUAUGAAAAAGACACAUCUGUUUGCCAAAUCUUUGUAAAAUAUUUUUUCUCUACAAGUAUCUCCUUUACAGCAUUUUACUUAUUUGCUUACAGAUUUAAACAUGUUUUUGAUCCCAACCGUAUAAAAAAAAAAAUGUGCUUCUCACAGUGUAAGAGAUGCUCUAUCAAAUCCCAACAUCAAGUCUCUUUCUUUCAGGGAAAAAAAGAGUUAAGAUAUAUGUAAACCACAUACUCAUAUAGUUACAGUAAAAUAGUCUAGACCCACUUACAGUACUCGGAAUAGUACAGGAUGCAUUUUAAAUUUUCUUUUCUUUUCUUUAAUAAGAUUAUUUGAGUAUAAAUCUGAAUCUCAAGAGAAAAUAGUACAGGAUGCAUUUUAAUUUUUUUUCUUUUCUUUAAUAAGAUUAUUUGAGUAUAAAUCUGAAUCUCAAGGGAGAAGAAGGAAGAAAAGCAAAGUUGAGUAAAAUAUGAAGUGCAGAUAUCCUUUGGAACUGUAUGUGUUCAUUUAGGAAAAAAAGGGCACCUCAGGAUGGCAAACUCAACAUCUGAGAUGAAAAUCUUUCACUGAAUUAUCAUUUUUGUUUACCAAAAGGCUGCAGCAAAUACUGUGUACUAGCUUUUAGGAAAAAUAUGUCUUAAAGAUCAGAUAGUCAAAGACAGGCWUGAAAAUAUCAGGAAGUUCAAGAUUUUGUGAAGCUUUAGAUUUCACCUUCUUUGUCCAGUCUAUUCCAUAAAAUUAAAAAAAUUGGGAUUUUUUGGAAAAUGUAAUUAGAGAUUGUACCACAGUGCACAUUCAUAGGGCUCCCUCCCUCUUCUUACUUGCUUUAAAAACCCYGAGAAGUCUUGCAUUUCAGCUUUAAAACUUACCUAACUGUAGUUUUUUGGGCUAAGUAAUCAGCUGAUGUUCAGGAUUUUCGGCAACUGUUUCUACUGGGGGAAUAAGUGAUGACAGAAAAAAUAAAUCCCAGAACUCCUACUUAUCUACCA